CCGAAAGUUUUUUUAUUUUGAGGGCUGCGCAUGGAAAUGAAAGACCAUUUGCACCAUGCUGCCUGUUAUAAACGUAUACUACACUGACUUAAUUGCAGCACCGUGACAGUCGCGGUACCGUUUCAUUAAGGACAUAAUAAAACGCAGUGGCGAUUCUAGCCCUGUUUUAGGAUUGCCAAAACAGGGCAAUAGGAUUGCCACCCAUCCCGUAAAAUACGGAGUCGUCCCAUAUUUGGCAGUUAAAUGUGCGUCCCGUAUUGAACCGAUAUAUAACUGUCCGAUAGACACGGACAUACACUAAUCAACACUAAGUUUAACAAUAAUGGCCAAAAUAAUACACAGGAAAUAUUAAGGUCAGCUACAUUGUCGUGGCUGCAACUAAAGGACCCCCAGAACUCUACGGACCGACGCUGAACGUCACGGUUGCCUAGAGACGGACACUACGCAGCCGCGAUAAAUGACGGAGUUUCAAAGAAACUGUCGACUUCUUCAUAAGGACCUGGGGUGAAAACCGACCCAUAGUUUGCAGCCAUUUUCAGAUCCUUUCUUCUUCUUCUACUUCAUGACCGCCUCUUCUUCUGCUCCUGUGGCUCUGCGGUCGUUGCCACGGCGAUGCUGGGCUCUCUGCCCCAUCAUGCUGUGGGUCUGUUUCAUUAUGAAGGAUUAUUUUAAAAAUCUUCACCUCGACAUCUAGAAGGUUCUACAAAUUUAAAAGAUUCAAUGAUAAAUCAAUUAA